AUUAUUUUAAAAUUCUAGGUGGAAUUUGCAUUGUGCCCCCCUCCCCCCCUUCUCUCUCAAUCUCCCCCUCUAUCUCCCUCUUUCUCCCUCUCUUGAAUUGAAUUGAAUCUUACAGCAACACUGCGAGAGCCUGCUAGAUCCCUACAACAAGUUUAGUUAGCGUGAGCAGCUAUGAUCCAAAGUCUGCCAGCUAACUUUAACAAACAACAAGAGCAAAAAGUAGCUUAGCGCCGAGCGGCUAACUCUGAGGAGAACAGACGGCAUGACCAGCUUCCUCCAUCUGCAUUAACGGACACUGCACAGCAAAAGACUGCAUCAGACCACAAGCAACCUCCCUCCCACGGAAAGGACAGAGGGACUAAAGAACUGUAUUGUGUUCUUGAUAACUCUGGACUGACUCAGCAUGUGACGGAGCCCACACACAACAAGGGGCACUCUCUGGACUUCAUCUCCAAGGGUCUGAACAUUUGAUGCCAUUGCACCCACUAAGGCGACCGCUGUCUUUGGUAAGAAAAGAUCUCGAUGGAGAAAUGCCACGCUGGUAAGAACAGAAAUAAAAGAGUGUCGUAAAGCUGAAUGCAGGUGUCAAAAAACAAAUCUCCAGGUUCAUUAUGACAUCUAUAGAGAGACUUUGCAUUUAUAAUUUAGAACUGAGAAAUGCAAUAAUAAUGGACGUGCCUUGUUUGUUACGUUCAACAGGCUAACAAAACCUCCUGUGUCAGUAGCCUCUGAACUUCUAUCUACCAGGGCCAGCAAUGAAUUUGCCUUCUUCACUGACAAAAUUCUGAAAAUGCGCCAGGCAGUCAGUGCCUCCAUAUCAGGUACAGGAUAUGUGUUGUCCCUGUGUCCAAUUAAAGUCAGUUCAAAUAGCAUGACACAAUUUGAUCAUAUUAACCAUAAAAACAUGGAGGACAUUAUACAACAUCUGAAAUCCUCCUGCUGCCUCGAUAUUUUAAAAAAAUGUUUCUAAGUGCUCGGCCUCAGAUCUUCUACAAACUGUCAACAUGUCUCUUCUCUCAGGCGUCUUCCCACAGGCCCUGAAAACUGCAGUCAUCACGCCGCUCUUAAAAAAGAACAAUCUAGACGCGUCACUAAUGACCAAUUAUAGAAUCAAAUCACACCUCCCGUUUUUAAGGAAAAUCACUGAAAACGCUGUUUUUCACCAGCUGAACAACUUCUAGACCUUAAACAGCCUUUUUGAUGACUUACAGUCAGGUUUCCGCGCACAGCACAGCACUGAGACUGCUCUUGUUAAAGUCUUCAAUGACAUCCACUUAAACACCGACAGUGGCAGAAUUUCAGUCUUGGUAUUAUUGGAUCUCAGUGCUGCAUUUGACACGGUUGACCACAACUUAUUACUAGAGCGACUGGAAAACUGGGUGGGACUUUCUGGCUUUGUAUUAAACUGGUUUGAAUCUGUGGGAUAAAUUUGGGGGUGACUAGGAGGUUUAUGGGUGUAAUAGAAUUUAUGAUACAUUGACUAAUGUAUGGUUUCAGAAAGGAGGCCUCAGGCCCUGUGAUUAUGUUGUUUUGGGUUAUGGGGCACUAGAUGUUCCUAUCAUAAGAUAGAAGUGUCCCCGAAGUCUCUGUUCUUCUUAUACUGAUAACGUGGGACGGAGACAGUCUCUUUCUUUGUCUCAUCUUUAGAAGAUGUAACCUGUAAACCACCACCCACCAUUCUGCUAUAAGAAGUGUACCUUUUGGAUGUAAACUAAGUAUUGUCUUGGCUGUGCCCAUGUGCACAUGCUGCCUCAGUGCUUCUCUGUCGACAGAUCUGUGUGUAAUAAAUCCAUAUAUUCAUGUAAUGACAA